rnacentral:rRNA from 1 species
GGGAAACUGAGGAUAAACCACGAUAGGUCAUCACUUCUGGAAUGGGUAAUGACUUAAAUCUAUAUGGCCCCUGGAUUGGACUGCGGCCGAUCAGGCUGUUGGUGAGGUAAUGGCCCACCAAACCUGUAACCGGUACGGGCUCUGAGAGGAGGAGCCCGGAGAUGGGCACUGAGACAAGGGCCCAGGCCCUAUGGGGCGCAGCAGGCGCGAAACCUCUGCAAUAGGCGAAGGCUUGACAGGGUUACUCUGAGUGAUUUCCGUUAAGGAGAUCUUUUGGCACCUCUAAAAAUGGUGCAGAAUAAGGGGUGGGCAAGUCUGGUGUCAGCCGCCGCGGUAAUACCAGCACCCCGAGUGGUCGGGACGUUUAUUGGGCCUAAAGCAUCCGUAGCCGGUUCUACAAGUCUUCCGUUAAAUCCACCUGCUUAACAGAUGGGCUGCGGAAGAUACUAUAGAGCUAGGAGGCGGGAGAGGCAAGCGGUACUCGAUGGGUAGGGGUAAAAUCCGUUGAUCCAUUGAAGACCACCAGUGGCGAAGGCGGCUUGCCAGAACGCGCUCGACGGUGAGGGAUGAAAGCUGGGGGAGCAAACCGGAUUAGAUACCCGGGUAGUCCCAGCUGUAAACGAUGCAGACUCGGUGAUGAGUUGGCUUAUUGCUAACUCAGUGCCGCAGGGAAGCCGUUAAGUUUGCCGCCUGGGGAGUACGGUCGCAAGACUGAAACUUAAAGGAAUUGGCGGGGGAGCACCACAAGGGGUGAAGCCUGCGGUUCAAUUGGAUUCAACGCCGGG